CAGUCGCCGCGGGAAUACGUAGGGUGCGAGCGUUAAUCGGAAUUACUGGGCGUAAAGCGUGCGCAGGCGGUUCGUUAGGACAGAUGUGAAAUCCCCGGGCUUAACCUGGGAACUGCAUUUGUGACUGGCGAGCUAGAGUAUGGCAGAGGGGGGUAGAAUUCCACGUGUAGCAGUGAAAUGCGUAGAGAUGUGGAGGAAUACCGAUGGCGAAGGCAGCCCCCUGGGCCAAUACUGACGCUCAUGCACGAAAGCGUGGGGAGCAAACAGGAUUAGAUACCCGAGUAGUCCCUGUCUCUUAUAC
rnacentral:rRNA from 1 species